GGUAAAGGUUACGGUAAAGGAUGACUAUGCGUCCCAUUAGUUAGUUGGUAGGGUAACGGCCUACCAAGACUGCGAUGGGUAGGGGCCCUGAGAGGGGGAUCCCCCACACUGGUACUGAGACACGGACCAGACUCCUACGGGAGGCAGCAGUGAGGAAUAUUGGACAAUGGGCGAGAGCCUGAUCCAGCCAUGCCGCGUGCAGGAAGACGGUCCUAUGGAUUGUAAACUGCUUUUAUACGGGAAGAACCUAGGGCACGUGUGCUCUACUGACGGUACCGUAAGAAUAAGGAUCGGCUAACUCCGUGCCAGCAGCCGCGGUAAUACGGAGGAUCCGAGCGUUAUCCGGAAUCAUUGGGUUUAAAGGGUCCGUAGGCGGGCCAUUAAGUCAGGGGUGAAAGUCUGCGGCUCAACCGUAGAAUUGCCUUUGAUACUGGUGGUCUUGAGUUAUGGUGAAGUAACUAGAAUAUGUGGUGUAGCGGUGAAAUGCAUAGAUAUCACAUGGAAUACCGAUUGCGAAGGCAGGUUACUAACAGAUUAUUGACGCUGAUGGACGAAAGCGUGGGUAGCGAACAGGAUUAGAUACCCUGGUAGUCCACGCUGUAAACGAUGGAUACUAGCUGUUCGACGAGAUUAAUUGUUGAGUGGCUAAGCGAAAGUGAUAAGUAUCCCACCUGGGGAGUACGUUCGCAAGAAUGAAACUCAAAGGAAUUGACGGGGGCCCGCACAAGCGGUGGAGCAUGUGGUUUAAUUCGAUGAUACGCGAGGAACCUUACCAGGGCUUAAAUGUAGAUUGACAGGUUU
rnacentral:rRNA from 1 species